UACUUCCUGGAAUGUGCGACACUCCUGUCGUUUUGAACCUACAUUUACUUUAAACGGGAUUCCUACAUUGCUGUAAUUAAUGUCAGGCCGCCUUGGUCAGCGGAAGGCAGAGAUUAUGGCUGCGGUUACCCACCUAGCAUUGCUAGGAGUCAGAAGACAGGAAACGGCAUUUUGGGAGGUAC
rnacentral:other from 1 species